CACAGCUGUAGGCAACUGCCUAGGUUGCCUUGUAACCUAGGGAAGUGUUAACACCGCUGGAAAAAAAGCAUCCAAUAACCGACAGACACU
rnacentral:snoRNA from 1 species